AGCGGCGGACGGGUGAGUAAUGUCUGGGAAACUGCCUGAUGGAGGGGGAUAACUACUGGAAACGGUAGCUAAUACCGCAUAACGUCGCAAGACCAAAGAGGGGGACCUUCGGGCCUCUUGCCAUCAGAUGUGCCCAGAUGGGAUUAGCUAGUAGGUGGGGUAAUGGCUCACCUAGGCGACGAUCCCUAGCUGGUCUGAGAGGAUGACCAGCCACACUGGAACUGAGACACGGUCCAGACUCCUACGGGAGGCAGCAGUGGGGAAUAUUGCACAAUGGGCGCAAGCCUGAUGCAGCCAUGCCGCGUGUGUGAAGAAGGCCUUCGGGUUGUAAAGCACUUUCAGCGAGGAGGAAGGUGGUGAGCUUAAUACGCUCAUCAAUUGACGUUACUCGCAGAAGAAGCACCGGCUAACUCCGUGCCAGCAGCCGCGGUAAUACGGAGGGUGCAAGCGUUAAUCGGAAUUACUGGGCGUAAAGCGCACGCAGGCGGUUUGUUAAGUCAGAUGUGAAAUCCCCGGGCUCAACCUGGGAACUGCAUUUGAAACUGGCAAGCUAGAGUCUCGUAGAGGGGGGUAGAAUUCCAGGUGUAGCGGUGAAAUGCGUAGAGAUCUGGAGGAAUACCGGUGGCGAAGGCGGCCC
rnacentral:rRNA from 1 species